CAGAACAAGGGAGAACUUUGCGUACUGUUGAUACAUUUUAAUUAUAGCAGUUUGGAAAACAUUUCAGGAAUUCCAUAUUCAGUGCAGCAUUGGUGUAUUUUUUUGUUUCUGCUUUCUUUUGGGGGGCUGGGGAUUGCUUUUUUCUGUUAAUCUUACAUCCAGUCUUAAUUUUUUUUCAUCUAAAGAAUAAAAAUCAAAAUAAAUCACUAGCAAUAUCUUCAUUGGCCUGCUUCCAGCACUUUCUUAGAAUUGCAUCUUUCCAGAAGUCCUCAGCUGAACUGUUGAUGAGAGAAAACAGCAGCUACAUAACAGCCCACAAUUGGGAAACAGAGAGAUGGGGAGAGGAAGUGACUCCUGAAGCUGGCUACAGCCUGAGAACUAGAAGCCAAACUGCAGUGUACCUGACUCCACUAUAGCACAUUCCCAUCAGAAGUAAGAAGGAAACCUUCAAAGAAAGAAGGAAAGAGAUGGGGAAAGUUGCUAGAGAAACACAAGAGGAAAGGCUGUAAAGACGUGUAAAAACCAUGAAAUUUCUAGCCACCUACCAGAAUGAUGUUAUUUCUCCUCGCUCUGUUGAAUGACAAGAUGAAUGACUGCAAACUCAUCAUUACUCUUUGAUUCAUUUUCAUUCAAGUCACUUCACUGCACUUUCUCCAUAGGCAGAAAGCAUUCAGGGAUGGAUUCUCUUUUCAAAAUGGUAAGAAAACUAUGAGUGCUAAGCACCAUGACUAGUUCAGAUGGAGUAAUGAGAAAACUUCAUUUGGACAGCUAAUAAUGCUAAGCAAAUGCAAGUAUCUCAUCACCCAACAGUUUACUACAGUAAUCCCACUAUCUUGUUUUUAGGGAGUAUGUAUCUGUUUGCAGAUGUAACAGGACAUGUGCGACAGGUUUGGAGGCAGUCACAGAUGAUGGGAAGUUCCUCUGUCAACUGACAGAUUAAAAUGCCCUUGCAUUGGGCAAGAGUAGUAGGAGCAACUGCCCACACAGCCUUCGUGUGUGUGUUGAUUUGUAGUGUUCAGAAUCUGGACUGGAUUGAUUCAUUUUGAGAAUAACUGAUAUUUAUCUGUGCACAUAAUAAAAAUAUUCCCUGGAUUGUAUGUGCUGGAAAAGGAUAGAGAAAGAAAGACUAUUCCUACCUCGUAGAACUUAACCUCUAAAUAUAAAAGGCAGGUGAAGGUUGGGAUGGAAAACGCACAGAGUGGACCAGCCAAGAUCAGAGCAGAUUAGUGAAACUGUGAGAGUAUGUUGUGGUUUAGCCCCAGCUGGCAGCUAAGCACCACACAGCUGCUCGCUCACUCCCCCUCAGUGGGACGGGGGAGAGAAUUGGAAGGGUAAAAGUAAGAAAGCUUGUGAGUUGAGAUAAAGACAGUUUAAAAGGUAAAGCAAAAGCCGCGCGCACAAGCAAAGCAAAACAAGGAAUUCAUGCACUACUUCCCAUCAGCAUGCAGGUGUUCAGCCGUCUCCAGGAAAGCAGGGCUCUAUCACGCGUUAUGGUUACUUGGGAAGACAAACGCCAUCAUUCCGAACAUCCCCCACUUCCUUCUUCUUCUCCCAGCUUUAUAUGCUGAGCAUGACGUCAUAUGGUAUGGAAUAUCCCUUUGGUCAGUUGGGGUCAGCUGUCCUGGCUGUGUCCCCUCCCAACUCCUUGUACCCUGCCAGCCUCCUCACUGGUGUGAGAAACAGAAAAGGCCUUGACGCUGUGUAAGCGCUGCUCAGCAGUAACUAAAACAUCCCUGUGUUAUCAGCACUGUUUUCACCACAAAUCCAAAACAUAGCCCCAUAACAGCUACUGUGAAGAAAACUAACUUUACUCCAGCCAAAACCAGCACAGAGUAGAAUGAAGAUUACCUGAAUCCCAAGACUUGGAGUUGUACUGCCUAACAGCAGGCAACCAAAUUAAGCCAUCACAUCAUGUUCUCCUGCAAGUUUUUUGAGAGAAACAGGCACAUUCAGAGGGAUGUUCAACCCACCAGUGCAUGCACCACCCUCUCAAGGCAGCCAUAUCUCUCUGUUGUGUAAAGUGGGAGCUACGUACCAAGUCUGCACUUGGGCAUGCCAGUUAUAUACCUCAAGCGUAGUGUGUCCCUAAGACGUGACUAUCCCUUACACAAACAUGCACAGAAGCACACGCAGUUACAAACUUGGUGAGUAUGAGUAUGUUGAUAAUUAGCCAAGCAAUAGUUUACCAUAUUCUUCAGUCAUUGUUACUUAUGAUUUCUUACAACUGGUACAAACUGGAAGCAGGAGAAAGCUUCUAGCUCCUUCCUUUUGUUGAGAGUGAUUCCCCCCAGAAUACACCGUGGAUUUGAGCUGGGUGAUUUUUUUCCUUCAAUCCUGCUGCUUAGAAACCCCAUUAAAUCAGAAAUAUAUUUCAUGUGUCUUUAUGCAUUGGUAAUAAAACAUUGUCUUAUAAAUUCUAAUACAGUUGUGCUGCUGGCAUAAAAGAGGAAAAAUUACCAGUAAUACCAGGAAAUCCUACCUCCCUCUAUUAAUUUCAGUUCAGCAAUACUUCACAACACAAAGGCCUGUGUACCCACAGACCCAGCAGAUGCCAGGCUAAUUGAUCCUGGGCUGAAAUAGAAGGGUGUCCUCAAAAACCAGUAAGUGGUUUUGUUCCCUUUCUGUUUUGUCCCUUAGAAAAAUGAAGUCUCUCUGGAAGAUUUAUUGAAAUCUUGAAGGAAAAAGAGAUGUUUUAUGUGUGAUAAGGUGCUUUUCCAAAGAACAUGGUUCAUUUGUUCUUGUCAACAGGAAUCUAAGAUGAAAUUACAGUGUUAAAUUAUGCAUACUUUAGAUAUAUAUUGUGUGCUAAAAAAUGUGUGCUAAAGAAAAGGGAACAGGUAUUUUUUGUUCCCUGGGAAAAGAAGUUGCACAUCAAUGU